UACGGAGGUGGCAAGCGUUACUCGGAUUCACUGGGUGUAAAGGGCGUGUAGGUGUCCUUAUAAGUAAGGGGUGAAAUCCUUCGAUUUAAUCGAAGAAUUGCCUUUUAAACUGUGAGGAUUGAGUAUGGGAUAAGAAAGCGGAACUCUCGGUGUAAGGGUGAAAUCUGUUGAGAUCGAGAGGAACACCAGUAGCGAAGGCGGCUUUCUGGACCAUAACUGACACUGAGCCGCGAAAGCUAGGGGAGCAAACAGG
rnacentral:rRNA from 1 species